UGUUUGUCAACCUACAUGGUCUGUUGGAAAGGCAUCACCCCAAGCCUCCACCACCAAUAAGCAGGAGCAGAGAAUGAAGAGGAUGGAAAAGCUCAAAAGGGAUCUCCAGAAGAUCAAAAAUGAGAGAGACGGACUCCAGGGAAUCCUAGCCAAUUACACUAACAAGGAUUUGAACAACUGGGAGACAUUCAUGCUCAAGAUGCAAGAUGACCAGGUGAUGACUGACCUGAAGAGAAUUCCCCAGGACAUCAGUGAGGCUUUGUACAAGUACAAGGAGUUGAUUAAAGAAAAUCAAUUCUACUGGUGAGUGACUAACAGGGUCAGUGAAUCUAACCAUCUCCAGCACAAAGUCAGGAUGUUGUGGAAGGAGAACAGACAGUUGCUAGAGGAGCAGAUUACACUAGAAAAUGCUCCAACGAAUCAAAGAGGCUGUGUAAAGAAGGCAGCCUGAAAACCAAUGACAUAUGUACCAAGCAGC
rnacentral:lncRNA from 1 species